UUGUCCUACGGGACGCAGCAGUAGGGAAUCUUCGGCAAUGGGCGAAAGCCUGACCGAGCAACGCCGCGUGAGUGAAGAAGUAUUUCGGUAUGUAAAGCUCUAUCAGCAGGAACGAGACAAGACGGUACCUGACUAAGAAGCCCCGGCUAACUACGUGCCAGCAGCCGCGGUAAUACGUAGGGGGCAAGCGUUAUCCGGAAUCACUGGGUGUAAAGGGAGCGUAGACGGCUGAGCAAGCCUGAAGUGAAAGGCGGGGGCCCAACCCCUGGACUGCUUUGGGAACUGUACGGCUGGAGUGCAGGAGG
rnacentral:rRNA from 1 species